rnacentral:rRNA from 1 species
CAGUAGCCGCGGGAAUACGGAAGGUCCAGGCGUUAUCCGGAUUUAUUGGGUUUAAAGGGAGUGUAGGCGGUCUGUUAAGCGUGUUGUGAAAUUUAGGUGCUCAACAUUUAACUUGCAGCGCGAACCGGCGGACUUGAGUGCACGCAACGUAUGCGGAAUUCAUGGUGUAGCGGUGAAAUGCUUAGAUAUCAUGACGAACUCCGAUUGCGAAGGCAGCGUACGGGAGUGUUACUGACGCUUAAGCUCGAAGGUGCGAGUAUCGAACAGGAUUAGAUACCCCCGUAGUCCCUGUCUCUUAUAC